rnacentral:snoRNA from 1 species
AAGUACACUUUUAAAAAAGGCUUUAAUGGGGCUGUAAAACCAAGAGCUCUUAGGGUUAUAACUAAAGAUUGAAGUUCUCCAUUGGAUGCCACAGUCACUUCAAUGUUUUCUUCAGAAGAUACAAGA